GGUGUAGCUCAGUUGGUAGAGCACUUGCCUGGCACUCAUGAUGUCCUGAGUUCAUUCCCCAGCAUC
rnacentral:tRNA from 1 species